rnacentral:lncRNA from 1 species
UCUACCCUAGUUAUAUAUAGAUAUAAGGACUUUGUUCCUGUCUACCCUAGUUAUUUAUAUGUAUUGUGUGAUGAUUCGUUGUUUAACUCCUAAAAUUUAGAUGGUGUUAUACAUUAGCAGUGACACAUUGCUUAGACCCUUGAUCACUCUGGAUUACCCUUAUCUAGAUGAGAUGAACCGAUUUGGCACAUGUGUGUGAAAGUGCAUUAUUCAUUGAUUUAUUGAUUUAACAGCAAAAGAGAUAUUAUUUUUUAGGCCUGAAUAUGUUUUUUCGUUAUUGUAUUGACUAAAAUUAAUAUGAAUUUUGCAUUUAUAUGUAGUUUCUUACUCAUGUUUGGGAUUUUAAUCUACCCAAAUAUCUCUGUAUU